GCCUGGUGGCUCAGUGGUUGAGUGUCUGCCUUCAGCCCAGGGCAUGAUCUCUGUGGGAUCGAGUCCCACAUCAGGCA
rnacentral:tRNA from 1 species